GCCCCGUGGGGCACGCGGGGAGCGGCCGGGAGGGACAUGAGCCCGCCGGGCACCGCAGCGGGCGGCGGCAGCCUCGCAGCCCGGCGGCUGCUCCUGCUGCUCUUGCUCCAGGCCGUCCGCCCUGCGCAGGGACAGCGGGCUGCAACAAAUAGUUCAGUCCCAGAUGUCUGUGCCACUUGCCAUGCUAACGCCACGUGUCAGCAAAAAGAAGGCAAAAAUGUCUGCAUCUGUAACUAUGGAUUUGUGGGUAAUGGGAGGACUCAUUGUCAAGAUAAAGAUGAAUGCCAGAUUGGAGCGAGCAAGAUCUGUGGCGAGCAUACAUCAUGUCACAAUACGCAUGGAAGUUUUUACUGCAUUUGUCUUGAAGGAUACCAUCCCUCUAACAACAACAAGACAUUUAUUCCCAAUGAUGGCACGUAUUGUACAGAUAUAGAUGAGUGCCAGCUCUCAGGUCUGUGUGGUGUCGGGGGACGAUGUGUGAACACUGUUGGAAGCUACAACUGCUACUGUAUGGAAGGAUAUAGACCAGAAAAUGGAACAGAAUUUUUUCAUCCAGCUGGGAACAUUGUUUCAUGCAAAGAAAUUAGCUGUGGCCCUCUAGAGAUCACGCAUGGACACAUCCUAGGGAACUACACCUCUGUGCUGGGGAGUGAAGUUCAUUAUGAGUGUGAAGAAGGGUUUUACAGCGAAGGGGGAAACGUAUCUAUUUGCACCAAAGAUGAAAUCUGGGAACCCUCUGUCAUAAGCUGUAAAGCUGUGGAUUGUGGAGUCCCACCUUCUGUCUUGAAUGCAUAUUCAGAUCCUGUAAGGAGGACCACCUAUGGAAAUGAAGUUGCUUAUAAUUGCCUGCAUGGUUAUGUUAUUGAAAGUGGUAACCAGACUGCAGUUUGUAAUGCCAAAGGACAAUGGGAAGGUGCUGAUCUGGUGUGCAAAGAAAUAGACUGUGGCAGACCUUUGUGGAUUCCACACGCAGAAAUGAUCUGGGACAACUCCACAACUCUAGGAAGCAUGGUGUACUAUAAAUGUAAUGAAGGGUUUCAUUUAAGUGGAGAGAAGAAUUUUUCACAAUGCACAAUAAUUCAGAAAUGGGAAAAUAUCACUGGUGUAUGUGAAGUAACAGACUGUGGCAGACCUCCUUCAAUCCCCAACACAGACAUGAUUUGGAACAACAUUUCCCAGCUGGGGAGUGCAGUGCACUAUCAAUGUAAAAAGGGAUUCCACAGCAUAAAUGGGAGGAAUAUGUCACGUUGUACUUAUAAUGGAUCCUGGGAAAUUCCAGAUCUAAUAUGUAGAGAAGUAGACUGUGGCAUUCCUCCACCAAUACAACAUGCUGAGCUAGUAUGGAAUUCCAGUUCAAGUCUUGGAAGUGUGGUGCAGUAUUCAUGUCAGAAGGGAUUUGAAUAUGCUGGUGGAAACAAUAUUUCAGUUUGCACAGAGGAAGGUGUUUGGGUAAAAAGCACUUUAACAUGCACAGUGAAGGCAGCCAUUGGAAACGUGUCUGUAUUUAAUCAAACCUGUGUGAAGUGGAGAAGGAGCACUAGAGAAACCAACUUGAAGGUGGUGUAUUUGUUUCAUGUACAAGGGCGAAGAUGGCAUCAAAAGGCAUUUUUUCAUGAAGCAACGUUUAACUUCACGGCAGAGAAAGAAACUCCAGAGCUGUGUCUAGACCUAAAAGCAGGCAGUAACUACACUGUGAACAUCACUGUAUUGUCUCCUGAGCCCUCGAGACCAGUCACUGUAACAAUCAAUACAGUUGAAGAGGAAGGAUUCCACAAUGUUUCAGUAUUUAAUGAUACCUGUUUGAAAUGGAAGAGACAUUCUGGAAGAAUUGGGGUGAAGGAAACCUAUCUGUUUCACAUACAGGAACAACAGGGAUACUUGGUGAAAUCCUCCCAUGAAAUGAUGAUUAACUUCACCACAGAGGAAGAGAACCCAGAGGUAUGCCUGCCUCUACACCUGGGCGUAAACUACACUGUAUCUAUCACUGAGGCAUCUACCAAGCUUGUUUUACAAAUCCCCAUAGUGCUCCCAGCAGCUGAAGAGGAAUUGCUCAGCAAUGUCUCUGUAUUUAAUGAAACCUGCGUGAAGUGGCAGAGAAAAGGUGCAAGAGCUGGGACAAAGGAAACAUACACAUUUCAUAUAUUGGGACGAAGACGGUACCAGAAGGAAUUCUCUCGUGAAAUGAUAUUUAACUUCACAACAGAUGAAGAGACUCCAGAGGUGUGUUUAGAGCUGAACUCUGAUGCUAACUACAUGGUGAACAUUACUACAGCAUCCUCUAAGGGGACCUCGGCCCUAAUUACUAUAGCAAUUAAGACAGAGGUAAAGGAAGCCUUCAGUAAUAUGGUGAUACUUAACGACACCUGCUUGAAAUGGAGGCAAAGCCUAAGGAGAGCUGGUAGGAAGGAAAUCUAUUCAUUUCACAUACAGGGUCGACGCUGGUAUCAGAAGGAGUUCUUUCAUGAAAUGGCCUUUAACCUCACCGCUUAUGGACAGACUCCAGAGGUGUGUCUUGAUUUGCGCCCAGGCACCAAUUACACUGUGAAUAUUUCCAUGGCAGCUUUGGAUCUUUCUGUGCUAGUUUCCAUGACAACUCCAAUUAUUGAUCCUCUAUUCCCAGAAAUAGAGUUUGUUACAGUACAAGGGCCUGCACCAGCACUCAGCCUACGAAAAGCAGAAGAUAGAAAUGGACCUAUCAGUUUUUAUCAAGUGAUUGUGCUUCCCUUGGCCUUGCAAAGCACAUUUACUUGUGAUUCCCUGGCUGCUGUGACUUUCUUUAACAAUGCCACUGAUGCUGAGGGGUAUGUGGCAGCUGAAUUCCUCGCCGAGGAUGUUGCUGACAACAUGCUGAUCUCUCUUGGAGACAGACAUUACUACGGGGCAUUCUAUAAUGCUCCCUUAAAGCAGGGGAAAGAUUACUGUGUGGUACUGAGAAUUAUAAGCCAAUGGAAUAAGGUGAGGACGCAAUCUUGUGCAGUUUGGGCACAAAUUGAAGAUUUAUCACCCACUCUGCAACAUAUGACUCUUGCUGGAUUAGGGUCGGUCACUGCUGUCUGCCUUAUACUGUUCUUGUCCUUCUUGGCAGCACGAAUGACCACGUUCCGUGGAACGCAUCAACAUUCCAGACAUAUGCCAGUCUCUCCCAGUGUCCUCUGACUCAUCCACACCCUGUCAAUGCUAAGGGCAGGUCUACACUACCCGCCAGGUCAGCAGGUAGACACGAUACAUCGAUCCCCAAAUGCACUCCCCGUUGACUCCGGGACUCCGCCAGGGCGAGAGGUGGAAGCGGAGUCGACGGGGGAGCGGGGGCUGUCGAUCCCGUGUCGCGAGGAUGUGAAGUUUGUCUCAAAGUUCCUGAAGGGAUUCCUUAAGAAAUAAAAGCCCUCGCUCUUGUUGUGUGUGUCACUUUUCAAGUGGCGCAAUGUCUGUCAACUGUAAUUCAUUGCAGUGGAUGAUUUCUCCGACUGCCAAUUCAUACUGUGACCCGUUUCCUAGGCUUUAAUGUUAUAGAAGUUUACAAAGUCAUGCUGAUAUUGAAGGGUAGUGUAACUUCACAGUGACUGAUGAGUUUACCCCACUGACCUUGAAAACAAAAAUUACCAGGGAAAAGAAAGCUUAGAAGAGAAAAACAGGAACAGACCAAAAAGCCAUAUUUUCAAAAAUUAGUAUCUCAUUUUUGCCUACAAGAUGUGUGGGGACAAUUGUACAUACAAAACAUGUUUGCACACACAGCUGGUUAUUUGCCCACAGAGAUACCAUUUUCCACCAGGUCUGGGCUCGUGGAUGCACAUGUGGCAAAUAUGACUAUCUCAGGCCAGGAUUUUUGAAAAUUGGACCCAAAGCGUGUCAAUUGAACAGAGCAUAUUAAAAAAUCCUCCCUGUUCUUAGGAACUAUAAAUGUUAUUUAACACACUCCAAAGAGAAGCAAUUAGACAGCCUGUCAAGUCACAUUUAGGCCUAAAUUAAUGUUCUGUUUAUUAAAAAAAAAAAAAAAAAAAAGCUGAUGCAAACCUACAACCACUGGAAGUGUUUCCAUUAAAUUUAUUGUUCAAUUUAACAAAGUUGUUUUUUUAAUGCCUCUAGUGUUUAUAACCCACAACUGCAGUGCUGUGCAGUGGACAAGUACACCGCUACCUUGAUAUAACGCCACCCGACAUAACACAACUUUGGAUAUGACACGGCAAAGCAGUGCUCCGAGGGGGCGGGGCUGCACACUCCGGUGGAUCAAAGCACGUUCAAUAUAACACGGUGUCACUGCUAACGCGGUUUCUCAAUUAUCACUUUUGUCUGAAGUCACAUCUACACUUCAGGUGAUACAACAACACGGCUACGUGUGUCACAGUAACCCUAUCUUCCAGACACACACUACAGUGCUGAAAAGGAGGUUUUCCAUCACCACAGGAACACCACCUCCCAGAGCAAUGGUAGCAUUCUUCAUUCCACCCGGCUGCAUCUGUACUGGGGGUUACGUCAGCAUAGAUCCGACAUUCAGAAGUGUGGAUUUUUUACCCUCCAACUAAUGUAGUUAUGCUGACCUAAGCUUUAAGUGUAGACCAGGCCUUAGUCUGGUAGCCCAGGGAAAAAGGCUGCAUUUCUGUGGCUUUCUGUUGAAGAAAGGUAACCUCCCCGGGCCCAGUUCUGUUCUCAUUUAUACCAGAUUGAUGGCAGAGCAGUUGCUCCGGAUUUGUUCCAGUGCAGCAGAGGAGGAUUUGGCCCCAGCAGGAUUCCUGUCUUAUAUUCUGUGUAAUAUUAUCAAAAACCCUUGUGCCUUAUUUAUAAGGCAUUAUUGAUACCGAAAUGGAGAGAGGUUGCUGGUCAUCUGGUAAGGGCCCUCAAAGAUAGCUUUAAACUGGAUUAUAAAAAGAAGGGGAGCAGCGGUAGGGACCUACAGUACCUGGUCGCUGUUGCUCCUGCAGCUGACGGUGGCAGACAGGUGUGCCAAUAUUAAUGAGAAUCACAUCAGGACUUGGAGGCUGGCCUGGGUCAUCACAGAUCAGCACAGUAACAACACGCAUAAAGCUUUACCAUCCUUCUAUCUGUCCAUCUCACUGUCUCUCACACCUGUGUGCUUUGGGGCAAGUCACUAAGAUCACUGCCUCAGUUUCCCCCUCUUAGGGAAGGCAAGAGGACUAACUAAUGUUUGAAGCUUGGUUAAUGUUCCAUCAGGACUGUUAUCAUCAUCAUUAUUACUACCACUCUGCUGGAAGUUUAAUGACAGUGCAAACAGACUGAUAGCUCACUGGCUGCAAAUAAUCAGUAUCCGAGAUAAUAAGUGACUGACUGAUACAAAUUGCAAUAGACUCUAAACAUCUCAGACUAAAUGGAGCAUUGAGAAAUCUGUUGGUUACUAUCAGGAAUGGUGCCUGGGUCAGGACAUGUUGACCCAACAUGCCCCUAAAGCAGCAUCAGCAGGGUGUAUGCCAGUGGUUCUCAACCUCUUUACCAUUGUGGGCUGCAUCCAGUACUACCUGUAUGGCCCUGAGGAUGUCACAUGGGCUGCAGCUGUGUGCUGAUUGGGCCACGGGUUGAGA